rnacentral:rRNA from 1 species
CACGCCGUAAACGAUGAGUGCUAAGUGUUAGGGGGUUUCCGCCCCUUAGUGCUGCAGCUAACGCAUUAAGCACUCCGCCUGGGGAGUACGGCCGCAAGGCUGAAACUCAAAGGAAUUGACGGGGGCCCGCACAAGCGGUGGAGCAUGUGGUUUAAUUCGAAGCAACGCGAAGAACCUUACCAGGUCUUGACAUCCUCUGACACUCCUAGAGAUAGGACGUUCCCCUUCGGGGGACAGAGUGACAGGUGGUGCAUGGUUGUCGUCAGCUCGUGUCGUGAGAUGUUGGGUUAAGUACUUAACACAAUAUCUCCUGACAGGAUUAUUUCACAGCCUUGAGUUGGCUCUACAGAUGUCAUUGCAGAA